UACGUAGGGUGCGAGCGUUGUCCGGAAUUAUUGGGCGUAAAGCGCGUGUAGGCGGCUAGAUAGGUCCGUUGUGAAAACUCGAGGCUCAACCUCGAGACGUCGAUGGAAACCAUCUGGCUAGAGUCCGGAAGAGGAGAGUGGAAUUCCUGGUGUAGCGGUGAAAUGCGCAGAUAUCAGGAAGAACACCCGUGGCGAAGGCGGCUCUCUGGUACGUGACUGACGCUGAGACGCGAAAGCGUGGGGAGCAAACAGG
rnacentral:rRNA from 1 species